rnacentral:rRNA from 1 species
GCAUCCUACGGGAGGCAGCAGUAGGGAAUCUUCCACAAUGGGCGAAAGCCUGAUGGAGCAACGCCGCGUGGGUGAAGAAGGUCUUCGGAUCGUAAAACCCUGUUGUUAGAGAAGAAAGUGCGUGAGAGUAACUGUUCACGUUUCGACGGUGUCUAACCAGAAAGCCACGGCUAACUACGUGCCAGCAGCCGCGGUCAUACGUAGGUGGCAAGCGUUAUCCGGAUUUAUUGGGUGUAAAGGGAA